rnacentral:rRNA from 1 species
UACGAGGGGGGGCAAGCGUUGUUCGGAAUUAUUGGGCGUAAAGGGUGCGUAGGCGGUCUGAUAAGUCAUCUGUGAAAUCGUAUUGGGCUCAACCCAUAGUCUGCAGGCGAAACUGUCGGGCUUGAGUAUGGGAGAGGUGAGUGGAAUUUCCGGUGUAGCGGUGAAAUGCGUAGAUAUCGGAAGGAACACCUGUGGCGAAAGCGGCUCACUGGACCAUUACUGACGCUGAUGGCACGAAAGCCUAGGGGGAGCAAACAGG